ensembl:miRNA Mir30d microRNA 30d
AAGUCUGUGUCUGUAAACAUCCCCGACUGGAAGCUGUAAGCCACAGCCAAGCUUUCAGUCAGAUGUUUGCUGCCACCGGCUC